CCCUAGCCCUGAUGGAAACGGCAUCCUUUGCUGCCAGGGUUUGGCAGCAAAGAUAGAGUGUACAGCAGGAAUUGGC
rnacentral:sRNA from 1 species